UACGUAGGGACCGAGCGUUGUCCGGAAUCAUUGGGCGUAAAGAGCGUGUAGGCGGCUUGCUAAGUCUUGCGUGAAAUCUCGGGGCUCAACCCCGAGCGGUCGUGGGAAACUGGCAGGCUAGAGUGCGGGAGAGGAGAAUGGAAUUCCUGGUGUAGCGGUGAAAUGCGCAGAUAUCAGGAAGAACACCCGUGGCGAAGGCGGUUCUCUGGAACGCAACUGACGCUGAGGCACGAAAGCGUGGGGAGCAAACAGG
rnacentral:rRNA from 1 species